rnacentral:rRNA from 1 species
CCUACGGGUGGCAGCAGUAGGGAAUCUUCGGCAAUGGGGGCAACCCUGACCGAGCAACGCCGCGUGAGUGAAGAAGGUUUUCGGAUCGUAAAGCUCUGUUGUAAGAGAAGAACGAGUGUGAGAGUGGAAAGUUCACACUGUGACGGUAACUUACCAGAAAGGGACGGCUAACUACGUGCCAGCAGCCGCGGUAAUACGUAGGUCCCGAGCGUUAUCCGGAUUUAUUGGGCGUAAAGCGAGCGCAGGCGGUUAGAUAAGUCUGAAGUUAAAGGCUGUGGCUUAACCAUAGUACGCUUUGGAAACUGUUUAACUUGAGUGCAGAAGGGGAGAGUGGAAUUCCAUGUGUAGCGGUGAAAUGCGUAGAUAUAUGGAGGAACACCGGUGGCGAAAGCGGCUCUCUGGUCUGUAACUGACGCUGAGGCUCGAAAGCGUGGGGAGCGAACAGGAUUAGAUACCCCAGUAGUC